AUGAGGGUCCUCGCACCUCGGUGCUCGGGCCCUAAUAAACAAAGCAGAUACAAGAGGGUCCUCGCACCUCGGUGCUCGGGCCCUAAUAAACAGAGGUAGCAAACAAGUAACCUUUGAUAUUAUGUCUUUGAGGUAACCCUCACCCUAAAAAAAAACAAAAAAACAUCUGAUCUAAGCAAUAUUAAACCAUUAAACUGUAGCAAUAUUUAUAACAACUCUAAACAUGAACACAUUGUGUUUCCUGUAUUAAGCUCAGGAAAAAUAAUAAAAUAAAUUAAAAAAUAUAUAUGAAUGAAUGUCACGUGACCGUAGGCUACAUAUAUGCGAUGACCGUUGUAAUUUGUAUCAGAUGACCGUUGUGAUUUCCUCAGCCUACUGUACCCUCAACAUUUUUUGAUCAUUUUCCCCACAUUAAUAACCUGUAAAUAGAACCAGUUGUAUAUAUUAAGUUCCUGUUCAUUCAUUACAUGUCUUUCUACUACUGUUGUUUUAAAAGUUAAUUAGUCGUCUUUAAGUUUGUUUGUAGUUUGUCGUCAGUUCGUCAAGUGGUUGAAAGUUAUCCAUUACCAUCCGUCAACCAACUAAAG